rnacentral:rRNA from 1 species
GAUGAACGCUAGCUACAGGCUUAACACAUGCAAGUCGAGGGGCAGCAUGACGAUAGCUUGCUAUUGUCGAUGGCGACCGGCGCACGGGUGAGUAACGCGUAUCCAACCUUCCCGUUGCUAGGGGAUAACCUUGCGAAAGUAAGACUAAUACCCUAUGAGGUUCUUCGCAGGCAUCUAACGAGAACGAAAUGUGAAGGAGAAGGAUGGGGAUGCGUCUGAUUAGCUUGUUGGCGGGGUAACGGCCCACCAAGGCGACGAUCAGUAGGGGUUCUGAGAGGAAGGUCCCCCACAUUGGAACUGAGACACGGUCCAA